UGAAGCUAGAGGUGUGUGGGAGAAUGGGUUGGCACACACGGGUC
rnacentral:sRNA from 1 species